UUUUGCAUUAACCCCUCCCACAGCCUCGAACUGCUCCCCGCCGCCGCUCCUCCUCCUCUCCGCCGCCGCCGCCGCCCGCUCCCGCGGGAUUCGGAUCCGGCGUGGGUGCGGCUCGGAGGAAGGGGCGCCACAAGAGCAUCAGCUUCUUCGAGGAGGACCGCAAGUCGCGCCUGGGCGCGCACACCCCCGUGCACCAGUAAUACGCGCGCGCCGCGGGCGGCGACCGCUCGCCGGGGCGCAAGGCGGCCGAGCCCGCGCGCCUCAGCAUGUCUUCCGUGCCCGGGGUCGAGGUGCCCAUCGUCGGCGGCCAUCAACCACCGCCUUGCCGCGCUGCACCUGCUGGAGGGCGACGUGCACGCGCUGGCCGUCGCCCGGGGCGUCUUCUUCACGGCCUCCAACAGCAUCCGGGUCCGCUCGUGGGCGGCGCCCGGCUGCUUCAACUGCGGCUACCUCGACGUGGGCCGCGGCUGCGUCCCGGCGCUCGCCGCGUGCGGGGGCACGCUCGUCACCUCCCACAGCCGCGACCACCACGUCCGGGUCUGGACCAUCUGCGCCGCCGCCGUCUGUGACCACAUCCGCAGGAGCAGCAGGAUUUAGGCCUUUUUAGGCUUAGCUGAGAAGUGGAGAAGACUUCCUAUUUCAGCAAUGCAUCUUCCUUGGAUGGUAUUAGUGAGAUUGCAGGUUUUCCAUAAUGAGAAACAGAGAUUAGCCUCGCUAUGAGCCUCCACGUCUCCAUCUCAGGUAGGCCCUGCUGUCAGCCGCCAGCAAAUCGCUGCAUCGGCUCCUGUCACUCCGUGGAGGACGGCAUAUAUGUAUGCUGCAUAUAUAUUUAGGUUAACCUUAUGUUCUAAUGAUAAUUCGUGAUAGUUUCCUGAAAAAGACAGCUUCCCUGCUUCCCUAGCCCGCUUUUGUGUGCCCUUCUUCUCCGGAAAGAAGAGUCCGAUGCAUAGGAUCGGGAGUCUGCAUCGACCUCCGCCUGCAAACUGUGUAGUAUGGUGAUUAGCUUUUGGUUUCAGUUAGUACCCAAAGCUACCAGCUAGGUUGUUUGGUAGCUAUAUGCAUACUUGUUGUUGCAUAUAGAAUUACGGUGCUCGGAUGUGCUGUAAUAUUGAUGCUCCAAAUGCCGGACAAAUACCUGAUGUCCUGAUGAUAGGAUAAAAUUGGUGCUUGGAUGUAA